rnacentral:rRNA from 1 species
AGAGUUUGAUCAUGGCUCAGGACGAACGCUGCGGCGUGCUAAUACAUGCAAGUAGAACGCUGAAGAAAGGAGCUUGCUUCUUUUGGAUGAGUUGCGAACGGGUGAGUAACGCGUAGGUAACCUGCCUUGUAGCGGGGGAUAACUAUUGGAAACGAUAGCUAAUACCGCAUAACAGCUUUUGACACAUGUUAGAAGCUUGAAAGAUGCAAUUGCAUCACUACGAGAUGGACCUGCGUUGUAUUAGCUAGUAGGUAGGGUAACGGCCUACCUAGGCGACGAUACAUAGCCGACCUGAGAGGGUGAUCGGCCACACUGGGACUGAGACACGGCCCAGACUCCUACGGGAGGCAGCAGUAGGGAAUCUUCGGCAAUGGGGGCAACCCUGACCGAGCAACGCCGCGUGAGUGAAGAAGGUUUUCGGAUCGUAAAGCUCUGUUGUAAGAGAAGAACGUGUGUGAGAGUGGAAAGUUCACACAGUGACGGUAACUUACCAGAAAGGGACGGCUAACUACGUGCCAGCAGCCGCGGUAAUACGUAGGUCCCGAGCGUUGUCCGGAUUUAUUGGGCGUAAAGCGAGCGCAGGCGGUUUAAUAAGUCUGAAGUUAAAGGCAGUGGCUUAACCAUUGUUCGCUUUGGAAACUGUUAAACUUGAGUGCAGAAGGGGAGAGUGGAAUUCCAUGUGUAGCGGUGAAAUGCGUAGAUAUAUGGAGGAACACCGGUGGCGAAAGCGGCUCUCUGGUCUGUAACUGACGCUGAGGCUCGAAAGCGUGGGGAGCAAACAGGAUUAGAUACCCUGGUAGUCCACGCCGUAAACGAUGAGUGCUAGGUGUUAGGCCCUUUCCGGGGCUUAGUGCCGCAGCUAACGCAUUAAGCACUCCGCCUGGGGAGUACGACCGCAAGGUUGAAAC